GACAGAGGGUGCAAACGUUGCUCGGAAUCACUGGGCGUAAAGGGCGUGUAGGCGGGCCGGAAAGUCAGAUGUGAAAUCCCCAGGCUCAACCUGGGAACUGCAUUUGAAACUCCCUUUCUUGAGUACCGGAGAGGAAAGUGGAAUUCCUGGUGUAGAGGUGAAAUUCGUAGAUAUCAGGAGGAACACCAGUGGCGAAGGCGGCUUUCUGGACGGUAACUGACGCUGAGACGCGAAAGCGUGGGGAGCAAACAGG
rnacentral:rRNA from 1 species